rnacentral:rRNA from 1 species
AUUGAACGCUGGCUGCAUGCCUUACACAUGCAAGUCGAACGGCAGCACGGGGCAACCUGGUGGCGAGUGGCGGACGGGUGAGUAAUGCAUCGGAACGUACCUUUCAGUGGGGGAUAACGUAGCGAAAGUUACGCUAAUACCGCAUAUUCUGUGAGCAGGAAAGCAGGGGAUCGCAAGACCUUGCGCUGAUUGAGCGGCCGAUGUCAGAUUAGCUAGUUGGUGAGGUAAAGGCUCACCAAGGCGACGAUCUGUAGCGGGUCUGAGAGGAUGAUCCGCCAAACUGGAACUGAGACACGGUCCAGAGUCCUACGGGAGGCAGCAGUGGGGAAUUGUGGACAAUGGGUGCAACCCUGAGCCAGCCAUGCCGCGUGAGUGAAGAAGGCCUUCGGGUUGUAAAGCUCUUUCGGCCGGGAAGAAAUCGCACGGGCUAAUACCCUGUGUGGAUGACGGUACCGGAAUAAGAAGCACCGGCUAACUACGUGCCAGCAGCCGCCGUAAGAC